rnacentral:rRNA from 1 species
GAUGAACGCUGGCGGCGUGCCUAAUACAUGCAAGUCGAGCGAACAGACGAGGAGCUUGCUCCUAUGACGUUAGCGGCGGACGGGUGAGUAACACGUAGGUAACCUACCUAUAAGACUGGGAUAACUUCGGGAAACCGGAGCUAAUACCGGAUAAUAUUUCGAACCGCAUGGUUCGAUAGUGAAAGAUGGCUUUGCUAUCACUUAUAGAUGGACCUGCGCCGUAUUAGCUAGUUGGUAAGGUAACGGCUUACCAAGGCAACGAUACGUAGCCGACCUGAGAGGGUGAUCGGCCACACUGGAACUGAGACACGGUCCAGACUCCUACGGGAGGCAGCAGUAGGGAAUCUUCCGCAAUGGGCGAAAGCCUGACGGAGCAACGCCGCGUGAGUGAUGAAGGUCUUCGGAUCGUAAAACUCUGUUAUUAGGGAAGAACAAACGUGUAAGUAACUGUGCACGUCUUGACGGUACCUAAUCAGAAAGCCACGGCUAACUACGUG